rnacentral:rRNA from 1 species
CGUGUAGGCGGUUUUUUAAGUCUGAUGUGAAAGCCCUGGGCUCAACCUGGGAAGUGCAUUGGAUACUGGAAGACUUGAAUACGGGAGAGGGCAGUGGAAUUCCUGGUGUAGGAGUGAAAUCCGUAGAUAUCAGGAGGAACACCGGUGGCGAAGGCGGCUGCCUGGACCGAUAUUGACGCUGGGACGCGAAAGCGUGGGUAGCAAACA